rnacentral:lncRNA from 1 species
GUUGGGCAUCAAGCAGACUACUGGUCUUUCAGGAUAGUCAGUGCUGGAGAAAGGAGUUGAGGACUUGGGAAACCUUACCUUCUGCAGGGCUUCACUUGAGGCUAAAGCAUUGCCUGUUAAAUUUGAGGUGGAUGUGGAGAGCCCAGGGUGAGCAGUGUUCUGUUCACUCUCUAGGGACAGCCUCUCCAUCAGGAAAGCAACCACGGCCACCCUCCUCCCCAACCACCACUGUGGAGCAGAAGAAUUUGGGAAGAGGAGUGAGCGCUUCUCGGGCUCUCCAUCCAGGCAAUACCAUGUUGGAAAAGCAGAGCUGCCCUACCCUGAGUUAUUGCCUUCUCUGGAGGACACUGGUUCCCAGCAGCCAUGAAAAGCAGUAACGCCAUCUGGCCCCUGAGGUCAUCUGUGCAUAUGUGACCCACACCAACACAAGACAUAUAUGUGUAAAUAAUUUUUUUAAAAGAGUCUUUCCUGUGGGUUGGAGUACGAGGAGGUGGGGGGUUGGACAUCAAACCUUGUUCUCUUGUCUUGAACUUACGUCCCAUAAAAUUCACAUUUCAAAGGUGUGUGGUUUUCAAACAAGCACAACUUUUACAGUUUGCGCUCUGUGAGGGAGCUUUGGCCGUCUGCCCCUCUCCCUGCCUCGUACGCUUAGAAAACUUACGUCCCCCUUCCUUUGAAUUUUCCUGUCACAACGUUUUAUAUAAAUGGGAUUAUAAGACUUUGUGAGGGGGUAGCUGUGGGUGUGUGCAUGCCACAAGCAAGCAUUCGGGGACUCGCUUCUCUUUCCACCUCACUCUUGUGCAUGAGGUAGGGUCAGUCUCUCUUGUCUCUUGCACCACAGUGUGCUCCCGGUCUCAGUUGGCUCGAGAGCAGAUUCUGUGGUCUCUGGGUCUCUUCACAAAGACUGCUGUUUCUCUGAGUAGCUUCUGGGGGCUUGAGUUGAGACUGUCAGUAGGUGUUGCCCGCAGGCACUUUCGUAAGCUGAGCCAUACCCCCUACCCUGGCUUCCUUUAUACCCGAAAGACCCACAUCCGGAAGGCCUCGUUCACCGAUGGAUAGCAAGUUUUGGGCAGAUUUGCAGUUUUGUGCUUUCCAGGUGUCUAAUUACUGAAGGGAAAUCUCCAGCUCUCGAUUCUGAGGAAGGGGCAGGGGUAUCACUAACCGGCAUUUUUGAGUGAAGUAGGAGUCCCAAGGCAUUCCUUUUGCAUGUUGGUAUUCCACUCCAGGGCUACCCAUGAUGGCUAAUCUUGACCCAUCGACUUGCAGAGUUUAGAGUCCCUGUGCAGACACACCUCGGGCCAUGCCUGUGAGGGGUGGUCUAGAUCAAGG